UACGUAGGGUGCAAGCGUUGCCCGGAUUUAUUGGGCGUAAAGGGCGCGUAGGCGGCUCGGCACGUCCGUUGUGAAAUCGCCCGGCUCAACUGGGCGGGGUCAGCGGAUACGGCCGAGCUUGAGCAAGCUAGGGGGUAAUGGAAUUCCCGGUGUAGUGGCGGAAUGCGUAGAUAUCGGGAGGAACACCAGUGGCGAAGGCGGUUACCUGGAGCUUUGCUGACGCUGAUGCGCGAAAGCGUGGGGAGCGAUCCGG
rnacentral:rRNA from 1 species